rnacentral:rRNA from 1 species
AUUGAACGCUGGCGGCAGGCCUAACACAUGCAAGUCGCACGAGUGGCGGACGGGUGAGUAAUGUCUGGGAAACUGCCCGAUGGAGGGGGCUAACUACUGGAAACGGUAGCUAAUACCGCAUACCAUCGGAUGUGCCCCGAGGGGAUUAGCUAGUAGGUGGGGUAACGGCUCACCUGGGCGACUAUCCCUAGCUGGUCUGAGAGGAUGACCAGCCAAACUGGAACUGAGACACGGUCCAGACUCCUACGGGAGUCAGCAGUGGGGAAUAUUGCACAAUGGGCGCAAGCCUGAUGCAGCCAUGCCUCGUGUAUGAAUAAGGCCUUCGGGUUGUAAAGUACUUUCAGCGAGGAGGCGUUACUCGCAGAAUAAGCACCGGCUAACUCCGUGCCAGCAGCCGCGGGAAUAC